ACGAACGCUGGCGGCAGGCCUAACACAUGCAAGUCGAGGGGGAAGCCACUUUCGGGUGGUGGAGACCGGCGCACGGGUGAGUAACGCGUGGGAAUUUACCUUGGAGUGGGGAAUAACCGCUGGAAACGGCGGCUAAUACCGCAUACGCCCUUUUGGGGAAAGCUUUAGCGCUCUGGGAUGAGCCCGCGUUAGAUUAGGUAGUUGGUGGGGUAAGGCCUACCAAGCCUUCGAUCUAUAGCUGGUCUGAGAGGAUGAUCAGCCACACUGGGACUGAGACACGGCCCAGACUCCUACGGGAGGCAGCAGUGGGGAAUAUUGGACAAUGGGGGCAGCCCUGAUCCAGCCAUGCCGCGUGCGUGAAGAAGGCCUUAGGGUUGUAAAGCGCUUUCACUGGUGAAGAUGAUGACGGUAGCCAGAGAAGAAGCCCCGGCUAACUCCGUGCCAGCAGCCGCGGUAAU
rnacentral:rRNA from 1 species